rnacentral:lncRNA from 1 species
CUGGGCUGCAGAUCCCACCAACAAACACGAAGAUCUUGGUGUUUCAGCACAUGAAUGGCUCGUGCUGAUCGGAUGAAGAGUUCGUGGUGGUGGAUUGCGUCUCCUGGUGGACUGCACUGUGUAUGACAGAGAUGAUGUACUAAACUCCACAGCUCGAUUUGGCCAAUUUCGAGUUGAAAGGAUGGUACUGGACCCAGGCCUCAUAAGUAGCUUGUCAUCAAGAUCUCUAGUAGCCAAAUCAGAAACCCACAAUGAAGUAAAGAUCAGUAUGUCAAGGAAGACAAGACUAACGGGGUAAAAAGCCUUAGACUAGAAACUACAUUUAGGGGGAAAUAAAGCAAAAAUAAAAACCUUUCAAUAAGUAACACUAGUUUCCAGAUGGUACUCUAGCUCAGGCAUGAGAAUCUGUUCUUAAAAGUGGGACAUUAUUUCAAUCAUAAACAUAAUUUACUAGAAUGGACAUUUGGCAAAGCAAGUCCAUUAUCCACCUGCCAUCACAGUCACUUUUUUAGUCACCAGUGAAGGCAAGCCUGAAGGACACCUACUCCAAAGUGCUUCCCAAAAAUUUGCCACAGGGGCUGAUUCCUACUCUGUUUGAGGCAUUCUUUUGUGCUGAAAGAUUGUCACCAGAAAGACAACUGAAAGACAAAUAUUGCUGCUUGGGAGCAGUUGUGGCACCAGUGUGGCUCCCACUGUAGCAAUUAAAGUGCUGAGCAAGUUGGAGCUGGCAGGGAUUUGGGUUUGGGUUCUUUGGAAAGCUGGGAGUGGGCAAAGGGUCUUGUGCUGCCCAGAGCCAGAGCUGUUGGGACCACAGUAGCCCUAUUUGCAUAAAUAACUGAAAUACAACCCUUUUCUGUAAGUCGUCCAAUAAAUAAAAUAAUACCACACCUAAACAGUUCAGUAGCUUAAAUACUGCCCUACAGAUUCAGGUGUGUAUUUUUUUUUCUUUUAAAGCAAGUGAGAGGACAUUUGACUAUUUUAAGACAUCUAAGAGUAUCCGCACAAUUAAAUGGAAGAGAAGUGAAAGAAUAACGCAGCUAAGCUCUGCCAUUUGCUCCUAUAGCUUUCAGCAAGUUCCUCAACCUUUCAGGCCACUUUGGUGUCCUCUAGUGCAAAACAUGGCACCGUGCUUGGAGGACUUUGAAGGGAUGCUGCCCAUCAAGGAACAGGGCUAAACCUGGAGACUGUUCUGGUCUUCCUGCCUCUCUAGCAAUUCACUUAUGCCUUUUUUUUUUUUUUAACACACCCUAACUGCUUUCUAAUUACAAAAUGUUUAGGCUUUAGCUGCCCUAUGUUCACCUUUAUUUUGUUCUAUGAACUUCUGGAUUUGAUUGUCUUCUCUAGCCAGGUGACUUUUAGAUUGGUCUCUAGAUCCGACCUCUUCCACAUUGCCAGUGAGAUGGCCCCUCACUGUAAACACACCCCAGAAGAAACCCAUCUUUUCCGCCAACAGAGGCUUCCCUCAAGCUUGAAAUCGAGAUAACUUUGAUUCCUCUAUUUCUAUAGAAUUUCACUUAAAUUUCACUCCCAAA